CUCUCCUUGUUGACCAUUAGGGGCUAAUUGAAAAUUCAAUUGUGCUUGCCUAGGUAAGGUCUAAUUGUGACUACUAUGCGGAUAUUUUGCACAUCUAGUCAAAUGGCCUUCUAAAUAUACCAGUGUCUCGGAACUUAGUACCAUAUUUAUAAAUUUGGCCAUCGUAGUUACACUUACACUUGAAAUCAUUUUCUUUCUUAAACUUGAUAAAAUGAUGCCAUAUAUAUGCUCUUUCCUGUAUCUACUUUCUUUUUGCUUUUGACCUCGAGCCUCC
rnacentral:lncRNA from 1 species